rnacentral:rRNA from 1 species
UACGGAGGGAGCUAGCGUUGUUCGGAAAUACUGGGCGUAAAGCGCACGUAGGCGGCGCAGCAAGUCAGGGGUGAAAUCCCGGGGCUCAACCCCGGAACUGCCUCUGAAACUGCAGUGCUAGAAUCUUGGAGAGGCGAGUGGAAUUCCGAGUGUAGAGGUGAAAUGCGCAGAUAUCGGGAGGAACACCAAUGGCGAAGGCAGCACUCUGGGCCGGUACUGACGCUGAGGAGCGAAAGCGUGGGGAGCAAACAGG